GUGUUCACAUAUCCUACAGCACAUAUUCAAAAAUUAGAACAGUCCAACAAAGCUUAGCAUGUCCCUUGAGCAAGGAGGACAAGAAAUUGUGUGAAUCAAUCCAUACAUUA